ACAACCACGAUGUUGGAGAGGGAAGCAGCUACCUCAAAAGAAGGGAAUGAACGGUUGAGACCAGACAAUAUAAUAAGUGGCCACUCUCUGGUAGAGAAAGACUUUGGAGGAAACCCAUCAGGCAUCCAGAACCCACAGCUCUGCCAUCAGAACUCCAUCCUGGGAACAGAAGCCGUCUAUCUGCAUCUGUAAACAUGGCCUCAUGUAGUGACGUGCAGGGAAAUGAGUGUGCCCUUGCAAUGGUUCUCAGUCCUUUCUUUAUCUCAACAUCAUGGCAUUUUAUGGCUUCCCUCAUGAGACAACUCAAUUAUUCUCACAAUUUAUCUAGAUUUCUGGAAAAAUAUGUUGGAAUGUGGCCUUCCUACCCCAUUCCCUCUGACAACAGGUUUAUUGAGGAAUAUAUUUUACUUUCAUAUUUUUAUUUCAGAGGAAAAAUUUCUCCCCAGACAUUUAUUUUCCCCAUGGUUCUCUAAGAGGGAGACAUGAAUGAGGAAACCAUAAAAUAAAAUCAGAUAAGGUGGGACACCAAGAUAAUCAUGUAGCUUGAUUUUGAUGUCUGGACCUCUUUUUAAAAGUUAAGGAAAGAACAAGUUCUUGUUCUCUUUGCAGGUAAAUCCACGGGAACCUUCUCAGUGCAGUGGUAAUACAGAGUAUAAAGUAGCCCUCCUUACUCUUAAGAGGAAAUUUUGCCUCUUCACCUUUCCAAAAGAAAUGACGAGAAAUCAUUACUUCCUGUGUUAAGCAAAUGCCUCGAAAUCAUCUCAGAGUUCCCCCGUGAGUGAUCCUAGUUUUGAAGAGACUAUUCUCAACCCACCUGUCAAUUAUGUCAGUGUAAAGGCAUCCAGAACAUCUGUCCUGAAUUUUCCCGGACUGCACCUGGACUUCAAAAUGAUGGAAGGUGGUGAUCUAACUGUGCAGAAAACAUUGUGAAACAGGCCACAUUCUCAAACUGGUUUGAGAAACUUUUAGAAUAAAAUGUGUCUGGCUAGGUUUAUUCAGCCUUAGUUAUUACUCUUUGUGUAUACACAAGGAUUUCAAACCAUCAAUAAAUGACUGCAAGUGGUUUCUAGUCAUAUCCAACCAACAAAAAGUCUUCCCUUAUGUGUCAAAAGCAAGCAAACCUCAAAUUGGUAAGUUUUCUUUUCCUGGAGAGAUUCUGUGGAAUAUGAU
rnacentral:lncRNA from 1 species